GAUGAACGCUGGCGGCGUGCUUAAUACAUGCAAGUCGAACGGAGACGUUAUAGCAAUAUGAUGUCUUAGUGGCGAACGGGUGAGUAACGCGUUGGUGACCUGCCCCGAAGAGGGGGAUAACAGCUCGAAAGGGCUGCUAAUACCCCAUGUGGUCGCGAAGGUUAGAGGCUUUGCGAUUAAAGGAGUAAUCCACUUCGGGAGGGGCCGGCGUCCCAUCAGCUAGUUGGUAGGGUAAAAGCCUACCAAGGCGACGACGGGUAGGGGACCUGAGAGGGUGACCCCCCACACUGGCACUGAAACACGGGCCAGACACGUACGGGUGGCAGCAGUAGGGAAUAUUGCACAAUGGGCGAAAGCCUGAUGCAGCAACGCCGCGUGCGCGAUGAAGGCCUUCGGGUCGUAAAGCGCUUUUUGGGGAGAUGAGGAAGGACAGUAUCCCCAGAAUAAGGUUCGGCUAACUACGUGCCAGCCGCCGCGGUAAAAC
rnacentral:rRNA from 1 species